AUGGCAAAUAUGUAAGUGUUCGUUCAAGUCCAUGUGCAAAUAUGUGUAGAUCUGACUAAGAACGUUAGUGAUAAAAUUACUACGGAGUAAAAAAAUGUAGGUAUCCUUUUGUAUCCUGAAGGAACACAACAUCAUAGAAAAAUAAGUAAGGAAAGGGUACUCGAAGUUCAGUUAAAGAAAAGGGUGGGGUCGGUACAAAAUGGUUAAUUUUUAAGGAAACGAGAUUUGCUUUAAGGAGCUUAGAAGUGCUCUUCGAAUCACUUGAUCACAGAACCAGAAUAAGCCCACUGAUCAGUAAAAGUAAGCACCACAGGAACGAAACGGCAAAAUUAUUUUAUGGAAUUCAAAUCGUAAAAAGCUGGUGUGAAAGAAGAAAAAUGACGAAAGAAAUUUAAUAUCAGAUGUAAAAUUACUGAGGUGAGAUUUGGUUCAAAGUUAUUUCGAUGGGAAUGUUUUAUUAAAAAAAUUAAAUGAAGCUUCAUCAUUGAUGAUUGAUGGAGAGUAUGGAAAACACCAACUUCAAGAGAAUUUUCUUUUAAUCGUCAUACAAAAUAUUUAAGUUUCAUCAUUUAUUAUUAUUUUUUUUUUCUAAAAAAAAAACUUAUCUUAUGUAUUAAAUAAAACUUAAAUUUAGUUAAUCAUUAUUAAUAUUCAUUUGUUAUAAUACCAACAAAACAAAGAAUUAAUAAAAUAGAAAUUCUCUCAAGUAAAAAUUUAAUAUACAAAAAGUAUACAAAAACAAAGAAUUUUAAACAGCAUUGCAGAUUUUAAAGGAUUUUACAAUCAGGGCUGUGUCUUAAGUAAGUAUAUAGAUAGAUUCAUAAAAAAAAACAACAAAAAAUUUACGAACGAAUUCUAGUAAUUGUGCGAAAUUUGUUAAGUACAAACCGAAUCGGUGGGUACGCACCAUAAAAAAAAAAAAUAAAUAAGAUUUUUAUAAAAUAUUAAAACCUUGUAUAAUAUUGUUGUUCUUAAAAAUCCCCUUAAUUCAAAAAUACAAAUAAAAUAAAAAUUAAUAUCAAAAAUUGCAAAACAACAAAAUACUAUUGUAAAUGUAAUUUUUUAAACAAAAAAAAAAAAAUAUAACAAAGAUUUGCUUAAACUCAAAACUCCUUCUUCGAUUUCCAUAUGAAGAUAUUUAAUGUAUAUGUGCAAACUUCUUAUUAAAUUUAAAAGAAUUCAUAAUAAACAAAUAAGACAAAUAUAUAUCAGGGCUAUAGAAAACACAAAAUAGCAGUUUAUAAAGAAAUAACAACCUUACAUAAAAAAGUUUCAUUAAUUUGAUAACAAAAAAAAAAAAAACAAA